GACGAACGCUGGCGGCGUGCCUAAUACAUGCAAGUAGAACGCUGAAGGAAGGAGCUUGCUCUUUCUGGCUGAGUUGCGAACGGGUGAGUAACGCGUAGGUAACCUGCCUGGUAGCGGGGGAUAACUAUUGGAAACGAUAGCUAAUACCGCAUAAAAUUGAUUAUUGCAUGAUAGUCAAUUAAAAGGUGCAACUGCACCACUACCAGAUGGACCCGCGUUGUAUUAGCUAGUUGGUGGGGUAACGGCUCACCAAGGCGACGAUACAUAGCCGACCUGAGAGGGUGAUCGGCCACACUGGGACUGAGACACGGCCCAGACUCCUACGGGAGGCAGCAGUAGGGAAUCUUCGGCAAGGGACGGAAGGCUGACCGAGCAACGCCGCGUGAGUGAAGAAGGGUUUCGGAUCGUAAAGCUCUGUUGUAAGAGAAGAACGAGUGUGAGAGUGGAAAGUUCACACUGUGACGGUAUCUUACCAGAAAGGGACGGCUAACUACGUG
rnacentral:rRNA from 1 species